CUCGAGACUUAGAGUCACAUCUGGAUUACUUCCCGUUGCCGUGGUGUGCUAAAGUCCUCGAAGAGUAACUGCUCUCUCUAUUCACUGGCUGUUCGAUCUCGUGGUGCAGUCAGUCACCGGGUUAGUAACAUCG